rnacentral:rRNA from 1 species
UACAGAGGAUGCAAGCGUUAUCCGGAAUGAUUGGGCGUAAAGCGUCUGUAGGUGGCUUUUUAAGUCCGCCGUCAAAUCCCAGGGCUCAACCCUGGACAGGCGGUGGAAACUACCAAGCUGGAGUACGGUAGGGGCAGAGGGAAUUUCCGGUGGAGCGGUGAAAUGCGUAGAGAUCGGAAAGAACACCAACGGCGAAAGAAGGCUGCUGGGUCGACACUGCAACUGAGAGACGAAAGUUAGGGGAGCGAAUGGA